AAAAAGAAAACGGAAAAAGAAAGAAAAUAUCUUGCAACAUUAUUUUACCAAAACAUAUCUUUGCAUAUUGACAAAUCCAAAGUAUAUAUACCUUCCUCUUUUUUUCUGGAAGAGUGAAGAAGUUAUCGUUUCGCUGCGUAUGACCGUCGCUGUGGUGAGAAGCUCGACAAAGUCUGCUCUCUUUUGGUGUUUGGUUUCUGAGGAGCCUAAGUCAAGACAAGAAAAGGAAUUGAAUAUCAAGUACUUAGUGGGGAUUUCAUCGUCAGAGGUAUUAAAUAAAAGGUUUUUGGAGUAAUUAAUCGUCUGCAACGUCCUAAUGGCUACUUCGGAAGCUGUUCGACAAGUACUAUCUGGGCCAUUACCUCGCCUUGGCUGUUUUGAUCUAUCUUUAAGCAAUGUAAAUGGAGUAAUCUCAGUUCAGUCUGGUGUAAAUAAUACACGGAAAAGAAGUUCAGUGUGUGCCCAAGUGCAUAAACAUUCGAGAAUUUCACAGGACCGCUGGAGAAUAUGUGCGUUCCAGGCUAGAAACAGUGUUUUUCAUGGAAAAAAUUAUGUUAGUAGGUCGAAUUCGAUGAGUUGCAAAUGUCAAAGGGCAGAAAGGCUUACUGGGGCAACUGCAGAAGAUCAGCAUAGGGACUUGCUAGUAGACGACUCAGAUAAAGCAACAUCGAUUCCUCCUAAUGGCAUAACUAGUCCAGGUAUUAAUGAAUUUGAGGUGGAUCAACAACUGAAACAUGAAGAGGGAGGUUUUGGAUCAAACGGUAAGCCGGCUACAGCUGGAAAACAUAAAGCUUCUACACAGAAGGUUAGGACCAAUUCGAUUGAGGAUGAAGCAUGGAAAUUACUGAAGAACUCCGUGGUCUAUUAUUGUAAUAAUCCUAUUGGAACCAUUGCUGCUAAUAAUCCAAACUCUACUAGUACUCUGAACUAUGAUCAGGUCUUUAUUCGUGACUUCAUACCUACUGGGAUAGCUUUCCUUUUAAAAGGGGAGUAUGAUAUUGUGCGGAAUUUCAUUCUUCAUACCCUUCAGUUGCAGAGCUGGGAGAAAACCAUGGAUUGUUAUAGUCCUGGUCAAGGACUAAUGCCUGCCAGUUUUAAGGUUCGCACUGUCCCACUCGAUGGUGAUGAUUUUGCAACUGAAGAUGUUUUGGAUCCGGACUUCGGUGAAGCUGCUAUUGGUCGUGUUGCCCCUGUUGACUCUGGGUUAUGGUGGAUUAUAUUGUUACGGGCAUAUGGAAAAUGCUCUGGAGAUCUUUCAGUCCAGGAACGAGUUGAUGUGCAAACAGGGAUAAAAAUGAUUUUGAAGCUGUGUCUUGCUGAUGGUUUUGAUAUGUUUCCAACAUUACUGGUCACAGAUGGUUCAUGCAUGAUUGAUCGCCGCAUGGGAAUUCAUGGCCAUCCUUUGGAGAUUCAGGCACUGUUCUACUCAGCACUUCUUUGUGCACGUGAGAUGCUUGCUCCAGAGGAUGCAUCAGCUGACCUUAUGCGAGCACUAAAUAAUCGUCUGGUUGCAUUAUCAUUCCAUAUCAGGGAAUAUUACUGGAUUGAUAUGAGAAAACUCAAUGAAAUUUACCGAUACCAGACAGAGGAAUACUCAUAUGAUGCUGUUAAUAAGUUCAAUAUCUACCCUGAUCAGAUUCCAUCCUGGCUGGUGGGAUUUAUGCCAAGUACAGGUGGGUACUUAAUUGGCAACCUGCAGCCUGCUCACAUGGACUUUCGUUUCUUUUCUCUUGGAAACUUAUGGUCUAUUGUAAGUAGUCUUGCAACAUUGGAUCAGUCACAUGCUAUAUUGGAUCUUAUUGAAGCAAAAUGGGAUGAAUUAGUGGCAGAUAUGCCGUUUAAAAUAUGUUAUCCUGCUCUUGAAGGCCAGGAAUGGCAAAUCAUCACAGGCAGCGAUCCCAAAAACACUCCCUGGUCUUACCAUAAUGGAGGUUCUUGGCCAACAUUGCUCUGGCAGCUUACUGUGGCAUGCAUAAAGCUUAACAGACCAGAAAUUGCAGCAAAGGCGGUCGAGCUUGCUGAGAAGCGCAUAUCUCUUGACAAUUGGCCUGAAUAUUAUGACACUAAGAGAGCAAGAUUUAUUGGAAAACAGGCACAGCUGUUUCAAACUUGGUCAGCUGCCGGAUACCUUGUAGCAAAGCUCCUCCUCGCCAACCCAAGUGCAGCAAAGAACCUUGUGAAUGAAGAGGAUUCAGAGCUUGCAAAUAUAUUUUCAUGCAUGAUAAGUUCCAGUCCAAGGAGGAAACGUGGUUGGAAAAAACAGAUUUUAGUUUGAAGCAGAGAGGGAUCUGGUGGAGAAUUCAACGCAAACAUUUCUGAAGUGAACCAUGCAGCCGCGAAUGAAGUGAAGUGUGGGACAGAGGUUUAGGAUUAGUUCAACUGCAACCAAGGAUGAAAAUGUCGGCCGAUAUCCCUAUAUAUCCCUUUUUUCAGGUGUCGAUACCGAUACAAGGGGUAAAUAUACAGAGGGUAGCAUGAGCAGAAUUAAAGGAAGCUAACAGCUAGAGGGAUGAGCAAGAAACAAGGAAGUCCAACGCCAAGAGAGGAAACGUCGAGUUAAAGGUUCCUGUUGACAAACCAAUGCCUACCAGAUAGCAAAGAAAGCAAACUUAAGCCAUCAUAGCAUGACCAACGUGGCAAGCAACUGAACCCUAAACAUUAGAAACAAACUGACGAAAAGGAAAAUGCCUAAUAUCCCAGUUUUCUUUCCCAACUUAGAUGGUAGUACAAUGUAAGAAUGCCACUUAGGAACAAAUCAUUCUUACACAAUGCUAGAGUACAAGCCCUAAUGGGAGAACAGAAGUGCUAACAUUUUGGAACAACGAGAGACAGUUGUUCCCAAUUUAUUGCUUCAACAUGAGGUAACAAGAACGGAAGCAAAAGACUUGCAUGGGAAGUAUAACACGCCCUAAAAAGGUUGGAUAGAAGAUAUAGCUGAUGCAUCUGAUUCAGUUUAAGUUAAACAAUAAAUGUAAAAAGGAUAACAAAAAACAUAGUCCAAUAAUUA